GGAACCUUCUGGAAAGUUGGACGAUACAGGGUGAUAGUCCCGUACACGAAAAUGCAUCUUAAGUGAAAUCGAGUAGGUCGGAGCACGUGAAACUUUGACUGAAUAUAGGUGGACCAUCAUCUAAGGCUAAAUACUCCCAACUGACCGAUAGUGAACCAGUACCGUGAGGGAAAGGCGAAAAGAACCCCUGUGAGGGGAGUGAAAUAGAACCUGAAACCGUAUACGUACAAGCAGUGGGAGCCCUUCGGGGUGACUGCGUACCUUUUGUAUAAUGGGUCAGCGACUUAUAUUUAGUAGCAAGGUUAAGUGAAUAACGGAGCCGUAGCGAAAGCGAGUCUUAAUAGGGCGCCAUAGUCAGUAGUAGUAGACGCGAAACCGUGCGAUCUACCCAUGGGCAGGUUGAAGCUGUGGUAACACAUAGUGGAGGACCGAACCCGUUGACGUUGAAAAGUCUUGGGAUGACCUGUGGGUAGGGGUGAAAGGCCAAUCAAGCUCGGAAAUAGCUCGUACUCCCCGAAAUGCAUUUAGGUGCAGCGUGUAGAUAGUUUUAUAGAGGUAGAGCUACUGAUUGGAUGCGGGGGCUUCACCGCCUACCAAUUCCUGACAAACUCCGAAUGCUAUAAAAUGUUUCUGCGCAGUGAGGGCAUGGGUGCUAAGGUCCAUGUCCGAGAGGGAAAGAACCCAGAUCACCGGCUAAGGUCCCAAAGUAUAUGCUAAGUUGAUAUAACGCGGUGGAACUGCAUUGACAGCCAGGAUGUUGGCUUGGAAGCAGCCAUUCAUUUAAAGAGUGCGUAACAGCUCACUGGUCGAGCGGUUCCGCAUGGAUAAUAAUCGGGCAUAAGCAUAUCACCGAAGCCGUGACUUUGUAUUAAUACAAGGGGUAGGGGAGCAUUGUAACUGCGUCGAAGGCGUACCUGCGAGGGAUGCUGGAGCGGUUACAAACGAAAAUGUAGGCAUAAGUAACGAUAAUGCGGGCGAGAAACCCGCACGCCGAAAGACCAAGGUUUCCCCAGCUAUGCUAAUCAGCUGGGGGUCAGUCGGGACCUAACGCGAACCCGAAGGGGAUAGUGGAUGGACAACAGAUUAAUAUUUCUGUACCUGCUCACGCUAAAAGUGACGGAGGCGAGAAGUUGGUGCGUACAGACGGAAUUGUACGUUGAAGGGAGUAGUAAUACCCCGAUAGUACACCGAGGCCACGGCCAAGGUGAUAAUCCAGCAUAUCGACUUCCAAGAAAAGCGAGUGAAGCAGCCCGUACCGUAAACCGACACAGGUGGUUGGGAUGAGUAUUCUAAGGCGCUCGAGAGAUUCAUGGCUAAGGAACUAGGCAAAAUAGACCCGUAACUUCGGGAGAAGGGUCGCCCCCUUAUGGGGGGCCGCAGUGAAGAGGUCCAGGCGACUGUUUAUCAAAAACACAGGGCUCUGCAAAAUCGAAAGAUGACGUAUAGGGCCUGACACCUGCCCGGUGCUGGAAGGUUAAGAGGAGAUGUCAUUCCUUCGGGGAGAAGCAUUGAAUUGAAGCCCCAGUAAACGGCGGCCGUAACAAUAACGGUCCUAAGGUAG
rnacentral:rRNA from 1 species